AUGGCACUCAUGAAACACAAAGGGCUCUUUGACCUGCUCAAGAGCCAUGGGAAAUACCUGCUGGACACCAAGUUCCAGUCUUGCAGUGGCUCUGCUGGCCACGGCGAUGCUGCACUGCAGACCACCAGGAUUGCCAUCGAAACCAUGCUGGAAGAGCUGGCUCCCAACCUCUGGGAGGACGACCUGGACAGACUGGUGGAUUUUGGUCACCUUAUAAGCCCAGAACUAGAAAUGAGGGUUUUGCCGUCGUUGAUGCACGGCGAAGCCGUGAACAUAGACAUGGCCUUCAUGACGUACGUGGCCCACACGCGGGGGCUCCUCAGCGCCGGCGAGAAGGAGCAGAUCAUCCAGUGCAUGCGGGGCCUGGAGCUGCCUGUCUGGCAUGGUGGCUGCAGCUGGGCCCUCAUCAAGACGGCCCUGAGGGAGCGCCUGAAGCACAGCGGGGGGCAGCCCCGCAUGCCGCUGCCCACCGGCCUCGGCGUGGCAGACAUUUUCAAUGACACCAGCGAGGAGACCCUGGAAAGAGCAUACAAGCUGUGGGUCAGGGACUGCAGGACGGUGCUGGAGGAAGGGCCGGCUGCCCUCUGA
rnacentral:lncRNA from 1 species